rnacentral:lncRNA from 1 species
UUUCUUUCUUCUCUAUACGUUGGUGUUCUAACCAAUAAUCACUCAAUCGCUAUUACGAUUCAUUUUCCGACCGAUCAAUAUAUCCAAUGGAUGUUUAAGUGCCGCCCAUAUUAGGGUUAUACUUUGUCGUUCGUCGUUAAUUCGAUGAAUGUUUAAGUAUCGCACUUUGUCGUUCGUUGUUGAAUCUCAUGACUACCAUUAAGGUUUGAUUUGGGUUUUACACCAAUACGUAUUCCAUUCUGUUAAACUAUGUAUUUAACUACCAAAAAUACUCCCAACUACACCCUUACAAUCAAACAAACUAUUAAAUCAUCAGAAGAUCCAGAAUAAUAAAGUGCAUGCUUAACUAUCGGAAGAAAUAGAAUCAAGAAGUUUGUUAACUCAAUCCUGCAUGCUGAUUUGUGAGUCAUUCUCUCUUUUUAUCAAAUAUGUUUUACAAUACUCCAAAUCAUUUUUCAGAGUUAUAAUUACAGUGAUUAAGUUUAUGUAAUCACCAAAUUACAGCCGGUAUGUGGGGUAUUGUGCACAUUACUAUUGUUUUAAUCACAUUAGGUGGGCGAGCCUAAAAAUAAGUGAUAUACGUCACUCAUUGGGACAGCCAAUGGUGAUAUGACCACAGUCACAGAGCUGGUCGUGUGACAAAUACCUAUUCUUGAAAGUUGGUUGAUAAUAAACAUAUGUAAAAACUCUUAAUACUGUGAAUUAUAACAAAUGUGUCAUUUUCAGUAAACUGAAUGAUUCACUCAGUAUUUCCCGCUGACAAAACCUUUUUAAAACGCGUUUCAGGUAAUUACAGUAGAUUGGAGUAAGGAUUGGAUCCGGCACUAAAAGACUUCAAGAAGUGGCUUAUUUUAUUAAUUAAAUCAAAUUAAGAAAUAUUGUUUUUAUUAAAAAGCUACCUUUGUAAAACAUGGAAUUUAUUCCAUCUAUUUAAAUAAGAUCCGGUGUUUCUAAACUCUGAUAUUUUCCUAUCUCACGGUCCUGAUGAAAUUUCCGCUGCAAUGUUUUUCAAAAUACUCACCGGUACCACUGGACUGCUCACGGCACCGAUUCCGGCCAGAUGGGGUCGGGGGUCGUGACAUCUAGAAUUUUAAUUAUCAAGUAAUUCAAGAAACCAUUGGUGUAAUAAAGUAACACACGAAUAAGAAAAAAUAAUCUUAAACAUAAUUAAAAGUUAUGUAAAGUAGCACACAAAUAAAGAAAGAUAAGUCUUAAACAUAAAUGUUGAAAACUAAAACCUCAAAUGUCAAGUACUUGCAACACGAGGUUAAAAAUUUAGUAAUCAUAUGACUUAAACAUCUCAAGGAUCACAUCCAUAUUGUCACGCCACCAUUUCUCAUCAUCGAGAUCAACGUCCUCUGGAAUUUUUGUAUCUCUUCCUGUUUGAUUGUUAUAUUUUUUGGAGGAUGAGUUUCUUCUUUGAUCUCCUCUUUUACUGAUACAUCAGUAGUAGCUGCUGGAGCAGUUUGGGGAACUGAAAGAAAUGUUAAGUAUUUUAGUUACAUAUGUUUUAUCAUGUAAUUGUUAGUUAUAAGAUAUGAUAGAUAGGUAG